CAUUGGCUCAACGUGGCAGCCUGUCCUUCAAACACCUCAAAUUUUGCAAGUUCUUAGUGUUCGCUUCCCCUUUCAAAUGGCAAUGGAGGGAUUUCAAAGGACAUAAAUGCAAACUUCAUUGAAAGCCUGCUUUUACAGGAUGAAGCAAACGCAGAUCCACCAAGUGCAUACCCAGGAUCACCUAAGAGUAAGGCCAGCUCUGUGAAAGAGGUCAACAGCAUGUAUUAAACCAAAAGGGACACUGCGAAGCACCAACAUUCUCCAACAAGAUACACAAAAGAUUUGGAACCAUUUGUGGUGCUCCAGAUGUUGAUUAACCAAACUUCCCAGUGUGCCUUGUCAACAUCUUCACGCUAACCAGGAUUUGAAUGUGUGAUUGAAUCACAAGUAGGGACACACAAAACUUAGUGGCCCGAUAACAAAAGAGAACCUGCAGUAAUAAAAUAAAUAAAUAAACAACUGACUCAGGAACAAUAGAAUCAGCACACUACGGAAGAAAAACCCAAAAUUUUCUGGAGGGACAGCCAGAUCGUAAGAGUUUUAUAGUCAGGUUUCCAAAACCAUGAGAUGCAGAGCGCGAUGGAAGGAAGGAAAGAGUGCCAUGCUGAAAAGUGAUCCACUUUCCAAGAUCACUUAUUA